GGAAUUUUGCGCAAUGGACGAAAGUCUGACGCAGCAACGCCGCGUGAGGGAUGAAGGCCUUCGGGUUGUAAACCUCUUUUCUCAGGGACGAUAAUGACGGUCCCUGAGGAAGAAGCCACGGCGAACUAACUGCCAGCAGCCGCGGUAAUACGUAGGUGGCAAGCGUUGUCCGGAUUUACUGGGCGUAAAGAGCGCGCAGGCGGUCGUGCAAGUCGCGUGGGAAAGCCCCCGGCUCAACUGGGGAGGGUCACGCGAUACUGCUCGACUCGAAGGCAGGAGAGGGAAGUGGAAUUCCCGGUGUAGUGGUGAAAUGCGUAGAUAUCGGGAGGAACACCAGUGGCGAAGGCGACUUCCUGGCCUGUUCUUGACGCUGAGGCGCGAAAGCUAGGGUAGCAAAC
rnacentral:rRNA from 1 species